rnacentral:rRNA from 1 species
GUGGCAGCCGCCGCGGUAAUACGGAGGAUGCGAGCGUUAUCCGGAUUUAUUGGGUUUAAAGGGUGCGUAGGCGGAAUGAUAAGUCAGCGGUGAAACUCACGGGCUCAACCUGUGCCGUGCCGUUGAAACUGUCGUUCUUGAAUGCGGAUGCUGUGGGAGGAAUGUGUAGUGUAGCGGUGAAAUGCAUAGAUAUUACACAGAACACCGAUUGCGAAGGCAUCUCACAAAGCCGUUAUUGACGCUGAGGCACGAAAGUGUGGGGAUCAAACAGGAUUAGAUACCCUGGUAGUCCACUACUGUAAACGAUGAUAACUCGCUGCCGGCGAUACAUGGUCGGUGGUCAAGCGAAAGCGAUAAGUUAUCCACCUGGGGAGUACGACCGCAAGGUUGAAACUCAAAGGAAUUGACGGGGGCCCGCACAAGCGGAGGAACAUGUGGUUUAAUUCGAUGAUACGCGAGGAACCUUACCCCGGGGCUCGAACGGCAGAUGGACUAUGCAGAGACGCAUAGGCUCUUCGGAGCGUCUGUCGAGGUGCUGCAUGGUUGUCGUCAGCUCGUGCCGUGAGGUGUCGGCUUAAGUGCCAUAACGAGCGCAACCCUUGUCGAUAGUUGCCAUCGGGUCGUGCCGGGGACUCUAUCGAGACUGCCUCCGUAAGGUGUGAGGAAGGGGGGGAUGACGUCAAAUCAGCACGGCCCUUACGUCCGGGGCGACACACGUGUUACAAUGGUGGCUACAGAGGGCUGCUCCCUGGUGACAGGUUGCCAAUCUCCAAAAGCCGUCUCAGUUCGGAUCGGAGUCUGCAACUCGACUCCGUGAAGUUGGAUUCGCUAGUAAUCGCACAUCAGCCACGGUGCGGUGAAUACGUUCCCGGGCCUUGUACACACCGCCCGUCAAGCCAUGGAAGUUGGGGGUGCCUGAAGUCCGUCACCGCAAGGAACGGCCUAGGGCAAACCUGAUAACUGGGGCUAAGUCGUAACAAGGUAGCC